rnacentral:rRNA from 1 species
GACGAACGCUGGCGGCGUGCUUAACACAUGCAAGUCGAACGGAAAGGCCCUGCUUUUGUGGGGUGCUCGAGUGGCGAACGGGUGCGUAACACGUGAGUAACCUGCCCUUGACUUUGGGAUAACUUCAGGAAACUGGGGCUAAUACCGGCUAGGAGCUCCUGCUGCAUGGUGGGGGUUGGAAAGUUUCGGCGGUUGGGGAUGGAAUCGCGGCUUAUCAGCUUGUUGGUGGGGUAGUGGCUUACCAAGGCUUUGACGGGUAGCCGGCCUGAGAGGGUGACCGGCCACAUUGGGACUGAGAUACGGCCCAGACUCCUACGGGAGGCAGCAGUGGGGAAUAUUGCACAAUGGGCGGAAGCCUGAUGCAGCAACGCCGCGUGGGGGAGGACGGUCGUCGGGGUGUAAACCGCUUUAGCCUGUGACGAAGCGUGAGUGACGGUAAUGGGUAAAGAAGCACCGGCUAACUACGUG